rnacentral:rRNA from 1 species
AUGACGUUCACCGACGAGUACAAGGGCGACAACGCCGUGGAGGCGCACAGCAACACCAAGUUGCACAAACCCGCCCUCUGCCAGCUCUCCAUCGGCAAGAAUCACCCGGUGCCGCUCUUCCAAAUGAGCGACAGUGAAAGGUGCACCGUCUUCGACAACUUCCUCGCCGACCCCAGGUACACCUUUGCAGGCUUCUCCAUCGAUGACGACAAAACCAGGCUGGAGCGCGUCAAACUGGAGGUCGCCAACUUCGUCGACAUCCAGAAGGAGUGGAGGGUGCCCAAGGCAACCAAGCCGUUGGACUCCCUCGGAGACGUCUCCGGCAUGCUCAUCGACGACUACUACAACAACAUGAAGAAGAAGAUCACCGACGACGAGCACCAGCGCUGGGCCAUCCUGCCUCUGUCCAGGAGGCACAUCGAGUGCGCGGCAAAGGACGCCUAUGCAGCAUACGAGAUAUGGAACCACAUCACCCUCACCCAGGACGGCCUUCGCCAUGCAAAGCUGGAGAAGGAGGAGCCCCCCCAAGAAGCGCGCCAGGAGCAGCUGGGGAUGGGGAGAGCCUGA